GAUGAACGCUGGCGGCGUGCCUAAUACAUGCAAGUCGAGCGAACAGACGAGGAGCUUGCUCCUCUGACUUUAGCGGCGGACGGGUGGGUACCACGUGGAUAACCUACCUAUAAACCUGGGAUACCUUCGGGAAACGGGGGCUAAUACCGGAUAAUAUAUUAACCCGCAUGUUUCAAUAGUGAAAGACGGUUUUUCUGUCACUUAUAAAUGAAUCCCCGCCGCAUUAGCUAGUUGGUAGGGGAACGGCUUACAAAGGCAACGAUGCGUAGCCGACCUGAGAGGGGGAUCGCCCACAGGGGAACGGAGACAGGACCCAGCCACCUGGGGGAGGAAGAAGUAGGGAAUCUUCCGCAAGGGGCGAAAGCGUGACGGAGCACCGCGGGGGGGGGGAGAAAGUUCUUGGGAUCGAAAAACUGUUUUAUUGGGGAAAAAAAAUUGUGAAAGUAACUAUGCACGUUUUGACGGUACCUAAUCAGAAGCCCAGGGCUAACUCCGUG
rnacentral:rRNA from 1 species